CGACUGAGUACGAGUUUGAGUCCUCGGCGUCAGGACGAACGGCUGGCGGCGUGCUUAACACAUGCAAGUCGAACGGAGUACCUUGAUUGAGGCUUCGGCCAAUUUCUUGGACUACUUAGUGGCGGACGGUGAGUAACACGUGAGUAACCUGCCCUUGAGUGGGGAAUAACACACCGAAAGGUGUGCUAAUACCGCAUAACAUAACGGAAUCGCAUGUUUCUGUUAUCAAAGAUUUAUUGCUCAAGGAUGGGCUCGCGGCCGAUUAGAUAGUUGGUGAGGUAACGGCUCACCAAGUCGACGAUCGGUAGCCGGACUGAGAGGUUGAACGGCCACAUUGGGACUGAGACACGGCCCAGACUCCUACGGGAGGCAGCAGUGGGGAAUAUUGCACAAUGGGGGAAACCCUGAUGCAGCGACGCCGCGUGAAGGAUGAAGGUCUUCGGAUCGUAAACUUUUGUCUUCAGGGACGAUAAUGACGGUACCUGAGGAGGAAGCCACGGCUAACUACGUG
rnacentral:rRNA from 1 species